AAGCCGGUGGUUUGAGUGAAGACUUGAGGUUUAAAACUCUAAGAGACCAUCCAAGAGAAAUGAAUAGUUCGGGUUUGGAAGGAAGUCUGUCUCAUUAUUCAUCGUCAGCCAGCUUCUUGCCUGGUUCUUCCUCUACCGAUGAUGUCCGUGAAAUUAAUGCAGAGGCAUAUUUGAAGUUUAAGGCCAUGAGAGACAGUCAUAUUCAUAUGGAAAGACAAAGAUCGGUUGCCCAAUUAUCAACACCAGUCCCCUCAUGGACUGGUUCUUCAAAAUCUGCCCAUGAUCUUCACAACACAAUUUGAGUCCAGCGGAUGUGCUAAAUCAUCCGCAAGCUAGUUUCAAGUUUCAACAUUCAACUUUUUUGUAACCUACGUCUAUGUGUCAUACCUUCUCGCAUCAUCUUUGUAUCUAAAAUUUUCAGCAAGUACGUACUAUAGAAGUCAUAUCUGUGUGUUUGGAGGAAAGAGUUACCAUUUUUCUGGAGUUGUUGAAAUUAUGGAGCUUGAAGGUUGAUGCGGAAAUCCAUCAUCAUUGAAUAAUAUUGUGAUUUUUUUUAAUUAAAUUCCUUUAUUUGGAUGAAUGUAUGUAUACGUAUAUAUGUACGAUUUUUUAGAAAUAGGUGAAAGAUGUGAUAAAAUUGAUGAUGUUGAUAACACAUAUAAAAAGUUUUGAGUUGAGGAAAAUUAUCAAUUGGUAAUAGCGAUGCUGAUAAUGAAUAGUUUAUAAACUAAUGCGCAAAUACUAUACGCGACCCAACCCGAUCAUAUAUAUAUAUAUUUUUUUUUAAUUUUUUUAUGUGAACAUUCUAAGUCCAUCCUUUUUAGAUAAGGAGUGCAAUGCAUUCAGACAAGCCGAUCCUUAUACCCUCAAAAUUUAGGAAAAUAAUACUUAAAUUAUGUUCUGAUUAUAAUACCCUUAGUAAAUAAUAAUUAAAAAUUUUACUUUAAAAUUAUUUAAUAAGUACAAAUAUAAUGUAAAUAGUUUAAUUUUUCUAGUAUUCUAAUAAUAUUAGAAUAUUUUUUAAUAUAUAAAAUUAUCUUAAAAAUUUUACUUUAAAAUUAUUUAAUAAGUACAAAUAUAAUGUAAAUAGUUUAAUUUUUCUAGUAUUCUAAUAAUAUUAGAAUAUUUUUUAAUAUAUAAAAUUAUCUUCAAAAUUAUUGAAAUUAUUUUGAAACGCAUAUAUUAAUUUAUAAGUGCACAAAUGUAAAAAUACUUGUUUUUAGAUUUUUUAAGUUAACAAAAUAACUUAAUUUUUUUUUUUUAGAGAUUCAAACAAAAAAUAAAUAGAUCAUUUAGAUUCAGACAUUCAGUUCUAUUAAAAUUCAAACUAAUUCAAGUUUAUUCAAAUUUUUUAGAUAAAAAAAUAAACACCACCUUAGGUUUUAAAUAUACUUUUAUUAUUUUAAUAAGAGUUUAGAAAAUUAGGUAUGUAAUACAAUAAUAACCUCUAUACCUAUAAUGUGUAUAUAUAUAGUCAUUUUUUAAUGAGACAUCUUUACUUUGAUAAAGUGAUGAUGCGACUAAUAAAUAAAACACAUAUUUCAAUAUACUAAUAGGGAUCAGGCUACGGUACCACAGUGGUACCGUGCCACAUCCUUUGUCUUUUAUGGCUCAAAUAUUGUAAAUUUUCAUAUAACCCCUUUUUAUUCGUUUUUAUUUAAACUUUAAUUCACAAAUAUUAAGUUAAUAUCUAUUACAUCCACAUAGACAUUUUAGUUAGCACCUUAUACUAUUUAUUAUUUACAAAUUCUUAUUAUAUAUUGCACUUAUAUCACAAUACCCCCUCUGUGAACCGAAAUGCCCAUGCCGAACCCACAACCCGACCUGGAUGCUAUUUCCAUUUCCGGCCACUUCACCGGCCAAGGUUGGUACCGAUCGGAAGAUCGUGCGAUGCCGGUCAUCUCCAUGCCAAUUUUGUCGCCAAAAAGCGUUCGGAAAGCUCCCGAUUGAAGCCGUGAAAAGCCGUAGAGCCGCCGCUUCAAUUCGCCGCGAUUUCUUCGGUUUCCGGUGAUGCUAUCACUUGAGUUUUGCUCCCCAUGAUUCCCUCUGUAUUUUCCGACCAAUCACAGCCACCGGGGGGAGCCGAUUUGCCGUUGAUCGGUCAUUGGAGGAUUCAAGGCUUUGGGAGCUCGAUCCGGCGCCAUCACCACGCGUGAGAGGUCACCACCACCACCGUUGGACUCAGCUCGGCCAAAAGUGUCUAACUCGAGUUUCCCGUCGCCGUCAGUUGAAAUCCGGUCACCGUUGGUCGGCAUGGGUAUUUCGGUAAUGUUCACAUGGAUGUUGUUGAAAUUAGUUUAAUAUUUGUAAAGUAAAGUUUAAAUAAAAAAGAGUGAAAGGGGUUAUAUGAUAAUUUGUCACAAAAGACAAAAGGAAGUGGCAUGGUGCCACUGUGGUACUGCAGGCUAAUCCUACUAAUAGAUAAAAAAUAUAAAUUUUAAUAUAUUAAAAAUUAUAUUUUUUAUAUUUUAGUAGCAUCUUUAUUUUAACAAAAUGAGAAUAUCCAUAUUAAAAAAGAAAUAUAUUGAGAGAGGGAGAGAAAAAUGUAAGGGAGAGAAGAUUUAUGAACUAGAUAUUUUAGUUGCACUAUAAAUAUAUAUAUAUAUAUAUAAAAUCUAAAAUCCUAAUAAAUUUGGGAAAUGUACAAAAAUAGCCUAAAAUUUUUUGUAAUUUUUACAAUGAGCCAUUCAAACUUUUUUCUAUCAACAUUAGCCAAACACAAUGUUUUCUUCCCAAAUUACCCUUGUUUACAAACCAAAAGCAACUUUUCUUCUCCCCCUUGAUCAAACGAAACGUAGUCUUGUACUCUUGAAUUAUCAUCAGCGACGACAAACGGCAACGGCAACGGCGAACGGUAAAAAUGAACUCCGAUCAAAUACAGCAUAAUCCAUCCAGAUCCAACACUAAUACAUAUCACCGAGCAGUAAGAGAUAUUUUCUCAACUUGCGAACUUGAUUCAGUGCGAUUGCAGACAGGUGCGACAGGCUGCCUGUCGCACCAAGAUUUCGUGCGACAGGCACCUGUCGCGCCAAGAGUAGGUGCGACAAGCAGCCUGUCGCACCUAUUUAUGAUAAUGCAAGCUGUUGCUUCUUCUAAAAAUCAAAAUCGAAUGAGCACUUCAACAGUGGCGGCUUGCAUGGCACCUCUACUUCUUCGUCCCCUUCUAGCUGGUGAAUGUGAGAUUGAAACUGAUUUCAAUGUGGACCGCCAUGUCCCCGUUCGUCUUCUUGAUAAUUUUCUAUACGCCAUGUUUUGCUUGUUGGUGCUCAUGUGUUUCGGAGACAAGCUUGAUAAAUCCCAAAUAAAAAAAAUUGAGAACGUUCAGCGCAGACUGUUGUUGGCUGUUGGCAAGUUCAAUAUACUGAAUUUCUGGCCAAGAUUAACAAAAAUUGUUUUUUUUAAGAAGUGGAUACAGUUCUUGCAGGUGCGUAGAGAUCAAGAAAACGUAUUGGUUCCUUUGAUAACAGCAAGAAAGAAGAUGAAAGAAGAAGAGAGCCUCGGUGUCAACAAGGAGGAGUAUGUGUUAUCGUAUGUGGAUACUCUGUUAGAUUUGCAGCUUCAUGAAGAGAAAAGAAAGCUUAGCGAAGAGGAAAUUGUGAGUUUGUGUUCAGAAUUUCUCAGCGCGGGCACUGAAAGUACCUCCACGGCGCUACAGUGGAUCAUGGCCAAUCUGGUGAAGCACCCGCACGUUCAAGAGAAGGUUUAUACGGAAAUCAGAGGAGUUGUUGGUGAAAAUGAAGAGGUGAAAAAGGAGGAGUUGCAGGAGAUGCCGUAUCUGAAAGCAGUGAUUUUAGAGGGACUGAGGAGGCACCCGCCUGGGCAUUUCGUGUUGCCACAUGCCGUGACAGAGGAUUUCGUGCUUGAUGAUAAGUACGUGAUACCAAAGGACGGGAGUGUGAAUUUCAUGGUGGCCGACAUGGGUUGGGAUCCGAAAGUUUGGGAGGAUCCGAUGGCGUUUAAGCUCGAGAGGUUUUUGAAUGAUCAUGAUCAAGAUUUUGACAUAACGGGGGGUAGGGAAAUUAAGAUGAUGCCAUUUGGAGCUGGCAGGAGGAUCUGUCCCGGUUUUGGUUUGGCUAUGCUUCAUUUGGAGUAUUUUGUGGCUAAUUUGGUUUGGAAUUUUGAGUGGAAGGCUGUGGAUGGUGAUGAGGUUGAUUUGACUGAGAAGCAAGAGUUUACUCGGCUUCUGCAAGCAGCAGCUGCAGCAAAUCAUGCUCAAAUCACUCUACAAUUAUUUGGUAAAAAAUCUAAAAUAAAACACCACCUAAAAUAAAACAACGCCAGAGUCAGAUGCAUAUACAAAUGAUGAUCUUGAUAACGCAUCAAGUAGAUCUUGCAGUGAAUUCGGCGGUGAGAGAGAGAGAGAGAGAGAGAGAGAGGAAGGAGAGGACGAAAAGAUAAUGUUAUGGGAGGGGCAUUUUCGGCACUAGGGAUGAUUAUUGGCUAAUGUUGAUAGGAAAAAAGUUGAGGGGUUAGUUGUGAAAAUAACAAAUUUUUUUUGGUUAUUUGUGUAAAUUUCCCAAUAAAUUUCAAGCUGUAAUAAAUCCGAAAUCAUAAUCAUUCAAAAGAAAAAUGGUAUUUUCUGGCAAACGGAGAACCAAUAUCCUUUCCGUGAGAUUUGAGAAACAAUAAUAGCAGACAAGAAAUCAGCUUAUUGUUAUUUUCUGGCUACGCACGCUAUAGGAUCCGGCGGGAAUCGCCACUCGCCAAUCGCCCACAACUCAAAUAUCUGAGGGGGGGAGGACUCACAACUCAACUUGUGAGGGGAUAUACACAAAUAUCUGAGGGGGGAGAGGACCCACAACUCUGUAAGGGAAUGUACCUUCCAUUAACGCGUAAGGUAGGAAAUGCAUAUCGGGGAAUGAUUAAUCAGACAUGCUGUGGAUGAGGUUUAAUAAGAAUCUUAUCACUGGCAGCAAGGCAACCACGUGCACAGACAAUUUUUUAUUAAAAUAAUGCACUUGGAAAUUUUCUUAAUCGAGCUGUUUGCUUGGAGGAAGAUUCAUCAUUCCUGCAUUUAGCAAAUAUAAAAGAAGCGCAAGAUUAUUAAAACAACGUAAUAAUAACAGCUCAUCAGAAGAUCCGUACGGUACAACAAGGAAACUGGAGAGAAUUGAAAGAUGGCUCAUACCUCAUACCUCACGGCUAGCUUUUCUGGGUCUUCAAAGAUGUCCUUCUUGAAGCUUGACCUGUUCCUUGUCUCAACUCUGUCUUUAAGCUGCUUAUGGACACAAGUACUUGUUUCUGCUACUCUGCCUCGAGCUGAAGGUUCGAAUGAUCCCCUUCUUCAUGAUAUCUUGUAACCAGUUGUAGCUUAUGUUUCAUUUCUUUCUCUCUCUCUCUCUCUCUCUCUUUUGGUAUUAGUAUUGUAUUACUCUCAGAAAUAAAGAAUAAACCAUUGUUAAGAGCCUAAGAUGAUAAUUGAAUUGAGGGUCAGCGAUCUUGCAAUGGUCAGAUUAGUGACAUUCAUAAUGUUAUUAAAAUAAUAAUAAAAAAUACAACUUCAAAUUUGGUGACUGGUCGAACUCAAAACUGUUAUUUUCACCAAGUUCUGAUGUUUAAUUGAGAGAUGCUUCUUUGUGUAUGUAGUUGAUGCGCUCAAUCAAAUUGCCAAAACAAUGGGAACUAGGGACUGGACGUUUGAUGCUAAUGCUUGUGACCUGAAUGAUAUACUCCCAGUGCAGGAAUUAGAUCCCACCAGGAACAUUACUUGCAACCGUGGACUCGAUAAUACACAGCACAUUACUGAAAUGUAGGUUCUUUUUCUGUCAUUUUAUAAAAUUUGAAGCGACAUAUUUUUAUUUUUCAGUCUUGUGUUUAGGUUGAUGUGAAGGACCAAUUUUGGGUAUCUUUUGUUUCCAUUUUCAGACAAUUCAAACAUUGCAACCUUUCUGGAACACUUCCACCGGAAUUGGUUCAGCUUCCUUCCAUCCAGAAAGUGUGAGUUGAACAGUCUCCAAUUUAAUGCAUUGGGAGAUUAAACUUAUAAAUAAACUAAGAAAUAGAACUGCGUUUCGCGCGACUUUAAAAAAAAAAUUUGUAUUAUUAUUUUUUCUUAUUUUACAUUUGAUGAAACCGAUAAAAAAUAUGAAUUGAUUUUUUUUUUAAAGAUUAAGUAGCUUUAUAAAAUUAAUGUUAUUUAUGAAAGUUAAUUAUUUUUUUGGUUAACUUUAAAAAUAUAUAUUAAUGUGUAUAGUGAAAGUGUACAUACCUCAUACCUUUUAUAAUUAUUGAUAAGUUCCAAAUUAUAUUCAACUUGCUAAUUUGGUAGAACUUUUAUAUCUCUUUUUUUUUUCAACCAGCUCUAACAAUCUCAAUAUUGAUAUGAAUCUUAACAGUUCAUUCUUCUAACCUCUUAAGCAAAGUUAUAACCAAGAAAAUAAUCUUAUACUAAUUUGAAAGUGCUCUGUACUCACCUGUAGUUGAAACAACUUUUAAAUUUUGACACUGUACAAAGAACCCUCACUCAACAUGUGCCUAAACCUUAUCACUAAAUUUUUCCUGAUUGUUGCAUGCAUUAAAUUUUCCUACGAAAAAAAAAUGCUACAUUAAGUGUAAAACAAUUAGGAAAAAAAUUAGAGAAAACAAUGGGAGAAUGAAUUUUUUAUAUAAUAUUUUCAUCAAUAAAAAUCAUGUUCAUGCUAAUCAAUUCUCCAUUCUUCUUGGUAUUACCAGACUCGCACAUCCUACAAAGUCUAACCCUUAUCAUCCAACUAUCUUUAUCAUUGUUCAACUCAUGGAAAAGAGUACUCCAUGAAGCACACAAUAUUAAAAAUUUAAAAAAAUAAAAAAAUAAAAAGACAAGACAUUUAUAAAGAGGAUGUUGGUUAAAUAAUAAAAAAACUCAAACGUAACAAAUCUUAAAUACUUAAUGUUUAUAAAGUUUAAAGAAGGCAAAAUACACUAAACAAAAUGUUGCAUAAUUAAAUAUGUGAUUAUGAUAUUAAAAUUAGGUUUUAAUGGCAUUAAUGAGGGAAGAUGAAGGAACCUUCCUUCCUAUAUUAAUUAGUUGAUGUAUUUUAAGCCACUAAAAUUUAGUUGUUGGCUUAAUAAAAUAAAUUAAUGUUUCAAGACUUAUAAUUAAUUAUUAUUAAUGGUUACAUAUUGUUGAAUUUAAAUAGAAAGGGGGAAGAGACAUGUAAUCUUGUGUAAUCUAAUAAUUAUUUUCUAUUUUUAAUAUUUUGUAAUGUAAUUAUUUUUAAUCUCAACCAAUAUAUUAGAUAAUAGAGAAUAUAAAAAGAUGAGAAAUAAUGAUGCCACAAAUCUUAAAUACUUAAUGUUUAUAGAGUUUGAAGAAACCAAAAUACACUAAACAAAAGGUUGCAUAAUUAAAUAUGGGAUUAUGACAUUAAAAUUAGGCCCUAAUGGCAUUGUUGAGGGAAUAUGAAGGAACUUUCUUUCCUAUAUUAAUUAAUUGAUAGAUUUUAAGCCAUUAAAGUUUAAUUGUUGGCAUAAUAAAAUAAAUAAAUGUUUCAAAAUUUAUAAUUAAUUAUUAUUAAUGGUUACAUAUUGUUGAAUUUAAAUAGAGAGAGAGGAAGAGAAAUGUAAUCUUUUGUAAUCUAAUAAUUAUUUUUUAUUUUAAAUAAUUUGUAAUAUAAUUAUUUUUUAAUCUCAACCAAUAUAUUAGAUAAUAAAAAAUAUAAGAAAAUGAGAAAUAGUGAUGACACAUCACCUCUUAUGAUCCCAGCUUUAUAUAUAUAUAUAGAUAUAGAUUAAUCGUUUUUGUUAAUUUGCAGUGAUUUUGCCUACAACUACCUAAAUGGUUCCAUACCAGUCGAAUGGGCUAUGUUGCAGUUGAAGUUCAUGUAAGCUAUAUCUAAUUCUCUCUAAUCAGGUUACGCAUUUAGCAUUCUACUUGAUUCGUACAGUUAAUUGAUCGUCAAUAAUCUUAAUGCAGCUCUGUUUUUGGAAACCGGUUAUCAGGCGAUAUUCCAAGCUAUUCGGCGGACAUUACCAGUCUCACGUACUUGUAAGCUAUCAAUUCUUGGUUUAUGCAAACAUAUUUAGGCCACUGAUGGAAAUGAUAACUAAUUUAUUCCCUUUGUAAUCUGAAUGGGUCUAAUUUGCCAGGGACAUUGAAGCAAACCAAUUCUCAGGAACCGUACCUCAGGAGUUCAGGAAAUUAGUAAACUUGGGAACUCUGUAAGGCAUUGUCAAGCUUUUUUGUGGCUGAUAUUUGUUCAUGAUCAAUGUAAUCAUUUGGACCAUAAAUUGUCAUGGGUUACAGGAGACUAUCCUCCAAUCAGUUGAGUGGAAGUUUGCCGACGGGACUAGCUGAGCUAAAAAAUUUAACGGACUUGUAAGCUUUCUUGAUUAGUGUCAGAUCAUGCUCAAAAUUCAUCAGAGGUAUAAGCUGUACUCAUUCUUAUUGCACAUUGCAGUAGGAUCAGUGACAACAACUUCAAUGGGAGUAUACCAGAAUUUAUACAAAACUGGAAGCAACUUGAGAGACUGUACGAUCAUCUACACUACAAAGAUUUCUCAACUUACAUUCUGGUUCUUGAUUGUUCUUGAUUUGUUAAUUUGAGUUGAUGCAGAGAAAUGCAAGGUAGUGGAUUGCAUGGACCCAUUCCACCAUCCAUCUCUGUCUUGGAAAAUCUGAAACUAUUGUGAGUAAAUAUUUCUCUACUUUUCAAUUACAAGAAUCAGAAUGAUUUAAUACAUCAAUUUAUAAUUUAUACGAUUAAUUUAUUAUAUUUAAUGAUACUAAAAGGAUCUGUUAAUUAUGGCACUCUACCAGGAGGAUUAGUGACAUAGCUGUAAGAAAUCAUCCUUUUCCGGAUCUUAGAAAGAUGGCAGGCAUUAUAACGAUGUAUGCUCAUUGGCUAUUUUCUAUCAUUUUGAUGGAGUAUGAUUAUUCGCCUUAUAAUUAUCUUACAGGAUUAAUGUUGGAUUUUCAGAACUUUGAGAAACUGUGGUAUUUCUGGGGAGUUUCCUGAAUAUAUCUGGCGAAUGAAUAAUCUGCAAAUUUUGUAAGUAUGCUACAUUCUUUGUUUUCUAAUGCAGAAAUUAAAUACUUGAAAAUGAAAGCAAAAUUCACGGUUAGCAUUCAUGAAAUGUAACACCAACUAGUAAUGUAGUAUUCUUCUAUACCUUGCAGCUGCCAUAGCAGCAAUAGAGUUGAAGCAUCAGCACUUACAGGCCAGUUAAUGUAUUUACAUGGAUAAUCAUUCUCUUUUGAAUUUGGUUUGGACAGGGAUCUCAGUUUUAAUAGGCUAACCGGGAAAAUUCCCAAUGUUGCAACUCCACCGAGUUUGAAAUUCAUGUAAGUUAAUGAAAUCAACUGUCUGGAUUUACAAUGUUAAUUAUGUGAUGUCCAACUCAUUAACCACUUGAUAUGGCCUUGGUCAGCUUUCUAACUGGCAACUUUCUCAGUGGGAACAUACCAGCGUCGAUCUUGAGGAAAGAAACCAAUGUGUGUGUAUCUUAUCACCUGGAUGCCUUGAGUUUUAUUUAUUUUAGUGAUUUAUGUUCAUAUAUAUUUGCAAUCUGUUGAUUUACUAUAUAGUAACCAUAUGUAACUUUCUAAUCUUGUUUCUAAAGAAACCAUAUUCAACAUCAAUUUUGAAAAGCAUUAUGCAUGAAAUUUCCUUCAUUGCUUCUUUCUUGCAUGCAGGGAUCUGUCAUAUAAUAAUUUCACUCAUCAAAGCCCUGAGCAGCCUGCUUGUCAGGAGAUACAGUCAGUAUAUUUCCCUCUCUAUGUUAAAUAAAUAAUCUUCUCCGCUUAUAAUAUCACUUGGGAUAUCUGAGUGCUGAUAUUUGCUUUGUCUUCCGUUAUUUCGUUAGGAGUCUAAAUCUGAACCUGUUCCGAAGUUCUUCUGGGGACAGCAAUUUGUAUGUUGCUUUUCAUGCUUUCUUAUUAUUGUAGCUUAUGUGACUGAUUUAACAACCAAUGUAUAAAGAAGUUUGCAAAUAUACAGUCAUUUUAUCAUCCAAUAAAUAAGAAGCAACGUAUAUUUUUAGAUUAGACAAUGUAAUGUCUACUAAUAUUCUUUAUUCCCUUGACUAAAACCAGAAGUGGAGUUCUUCCAUGCAGGAAUAAUUUCAAAUGUGAUCGAUGUAAGUAUACUCUACUAUCAGUAAGUCACCAUAAAAUUUACAUCUCGAAUAUGUUGACUUUUAGAAUCACAAAUAUUUGGUAGCCUAGCUAUUAAUAUCAUAUUCAAAUCAACUCCAAUUCCUCCAUUUAUUUUUUCAAUUGUCAAUUCAUUUCUGGUUUCCUGAAAGCUCAUUGCUAAUUGUCUUUGAAAUUCGUUUGUCUCGGCAGAUUGGCACUCUCUGCAUAUCAAUUGUGGUGGAAAUGACGUAAAAGUAAAUGGCAGCACAUUUGAAGGAGAUGGACAAAUUGGUGGUGGUGCUGCAACAUGCCAUUCACAAGAUGAUACUAACUGGGGUUUUAGUAGCAGUGGAGACUUCACUGAUGACAAUGAUGAAGAAAACAAACGUUACAUUGCAACUUCUAACUCAUCAGACCUUUCUGAACUAUAUAUUAAUGCACGCAUUGCUCCUCUUUCACUUACGUAUUUUGGAUAUUGUUUAGACAAUAGGAAUUAUAUGUUGAGUCUACACUUUGCGGAGAUCCAGUUCAGUAAUGGAAUUACAUUUCACAGCCUGGGAAGGCGUUUGUUUGAUAUUUAUAUUCAGGUAAUUAAUUAAAAUUAGGAAAUAGAUUUUCAUUGGAAAAAUUUCUCUGUGUGAGUUCUUGGGACACAGACAUGCUAUUGAGUAGUAUGAUGGAUGAUUCUCAAAAUGUUUCUCUGGAUUGUCUUGUUUCAGGACAAACUAGUUGAGAGGAAUUUCGAUAUAAAAGCUGAAGCUUCUGGGGUUCUUAAGCCAGUUGCAAGAUCCUAUAAUGUCACUGUUACAAAUCACAUUAUAGAGAUCAGUUUCCAUUGGGCUGGCAAAGGGACUACCGCACUUCCUAAGAGGGGAAUCUACGGCCCCCUAGUAUCAGCUAUUUCAUUGAAUGACCCCAGUGAGUCCUUUUCAUCCCUUAUUCUGUUUUCAAAAUCGACUAACAUUAUAAUACGUUGCGAAGUCCGGAUUUUUAGUAACACAAUUUCAAAUUUUCUUGUUUGAAGUUUAACUCUCUACGAUUGUACAUUAGAAAACAACCAAAAUUCAGAUAUUUAGUUUGUUUGCAGCCAUUUUCUUACAUAUCCAUUUUAUGUGAAAGGAAAAAGAAAAUCCCCAUAAGUUAUUAAGCCUAUCAACGUAGUUUUGAAUUUGUUUUCAUGCCCACACGUUUCUGUAAUGCAUUCGUUCCAUGUUUUCACAUGCUUCUGAUAAUCCUGCUUCAUGGAUUCUCCUUGGCAGACUUCAAACCUGAAAAUAAGAAGGUAGUGCCGAUUGUUGUUGGAGUAGUUGCAGGAUUAUCUCUCAUAAUCUUGGCGUUCGGUAUCCUCGGUUGGAGGUACUAUCUGAGAACCAAGAGGCGCAAAGAAAGAGGUGUGGGCUUCUUUUAGAUAAAAAUUUAAAAAUGCUUUCGUUUGCUACUCAACAUUUAUUCACAAUCAUUUUCUUUUUCAUUAUAAUAAUCAAAAUAGUAGCUUUAUAACAGCAUUAACUUUAGUUCUUGACAGCAUUUAUGUAAGCAUGUGAAGACAUUUAGGUUCAAACUACAUGCUGAUGCUCAUUUUGACCAUCCACAUUAAAUUUAGUAAGCAAAUAACUUAAUGAACCCGGAAACUCAUCUAGAGGCUAAAGCACACUUGUCUUAAUUUAGACAGGUUUUAUGAAAGAGUCGGAUCUCCAAACAAUUUCUUUUACCUUAAAGCAAAUUAAAGCUGCAACUAACAAUUUUGAUUCUGCAAAGAAGAUUGGAGAAGGUGGAUUUGGACCUGUGUACAAGGUAUAUUGGCCAACCUUUUGCCCCUAAUCAUCCUCUUAACACAAAAUUUCCUUCAAUGGUUACUUAAAAUAUGUACAUUCCUUUUUUCAUAACUGGGAUGCAGGGUCAACUAGCAGAUGGUACUAUAAUUGCUGUGAAGCAGCUCUCUUCAAAAUCAAGGCAGGGGAAUCGUGAAUUCUUAAAUGAGAUAGCCAUGAUUUCGUGUUUGCAACACCCAAAUCUUGUUAAAAUUCAUGGCUGUUGUGUUGAAGGGGAUCAACUCUUGCUAGUAUAUGAAUACAUGGAAAACAACAGCCUUGCCCAUGCUUUAUUCGGUAAGUGUAAUAUAUUGAUGAUUGCUUGAUUGAUUAUAUGAGAGGAAAAUAAAAUAGUAACUUAGAAACACUAUACAAGUUAUAUACCAAUCUAUUAUUCUCCCUAGUAAUAUUUCUUGGAAUGGUCAUGUUAAGGUGGUGAAAACAGUCAACUGAAAUUGAACUGGUCAGUGAGGCAGAAGAUCUGCCUUGGGAUAGCCAGAGGUUUAGCUUUUCUACAUGAAGAAUCCAGAUUCAAGAUAGUUCAUAGAGACAUCAAAGCUACGAAUGUUCUGCUAGAUAGAGAUUUAAACCCCAAAAUAUCUGACUUUGGACUGGCUAAGCUUGAUGAGGAGGAGAAAACUCACAUCAGUACUCGAGUUGCUGGAACAAUGUAAGCUACAUGUCUCUCUUUUCAAUGACAUUUUGUCACUAUUUUAACAUCAAAACUCAUGAUAAAUUUGAUAUGCAGAGGAUAUAUGGCACCCGAGUAUGCUCUAUGGGGUUACCUGACCUACAAAGCAGAUGUUUACAGUUUCGGAGUUGUGGCUUUGGAAAUUGUCAGUGGGAAGUAUAAUAUGAGUUAUGUGCCAGACAGUAAUUGCAUCUGUCCUCUUGACUGGGUACAAGAUUAACUAAAUUUUUAAUUCUUUAGUAGUACAUUUAACUCCAUUUUAGUGGGGACAUGUUUGUUUGUUUGUUAUUUAUUUAUUUGGGACAACAGUUAUGGCAUGAGUUUAAAUCCAAUAAAUGUAGAAUUUUUAACAUAAUUGUCUCGGUUAUGUAUUUCCCAGGCCUUCCAUUUACAUCGAAGUGGUACGUUAAUGGAGUUAGUGGAUCCAAGGCUGGGAUCAGAAUUCAACAAGGUUGAAGCAGAGAGAAUGAUUAAAAUAGCACUCUUAUGCACCAAUGCGUCACCUUCACUAAGGCCAACCAUGUCUGAAGUGGUAAGCAUGCUGGAAGGAUCUUCUAACAUUCCGGAUGUAAUCCCUGAAGCCAGUGGUUUAAGUGAAGACUUGAGGUUUAAAACUCUAAGAGACCAUCCAAGAGAAAUGAAUAGUUCGGGUUUGGAAGGAAGUCUGUCUCGUUAUUCAUCGUCAGCCAGCUUCUUGCCUGGUUCUUCCAGCUUCUUGUCUGGUUCUUCCCCUACCGAUGAUGUCCGUGAAAUUAAUGCAGAGGCAUAUUUGAAGUUUAAGGCCAUGAGAGACAGUCAUAUUCAUAUGGAAAGACAAAGUUCGGUUGCCCAAGUAUCAACACCAGUCCCCUCAUGGACUGGCUCUUCAAAAUCUGCCCAUGAU
rnacentral:lncRNA from 1 species